rnacentral:rRNA from 1 species
UACAGAGGGGCAAGCGUUGUUCGGAAUUACUGGGCGUAAAGGGCGCGUAGGCGGCCUGUUAAGUCGAACGUGAAAUCCCCGGGCUCAACCCGGGAACUGCGUCCGAUACUGGCAGGCUUGAAUCCGGGAGAGGGAUGCGGAAUUCCAGGUGUAGCGGUGAAAUGCGUAGAUAUCGGGAGGAACAUCAGUGGCGAAGGCGACCACCUGGCCCAACACUGACGCUGAGGUGCGAAAGCGUGGGUAGCAAA